rnacentral:rRNA from 1 species
UAGGGAAUCUUCCACAAUGGACGCAAGUCUGAUGGAGCAACGCCGCGUGAGUGAAGAAGGUUUUCGGAUCGUAAAGCUCUGUUGUUGGUGAAGAAGGAUAGAGGCAGUAACUGGUCUUUAUUUGACGGUAAUCAACCAGAAAGUCACGGCUAACUACGUGCCAGCAGACGCGGUAAUACGUAGGUGGCAAGCGUUGUCCGGAUUUAUUGGGCGUAAAGCGAGCGCAGGCGGAAUGAUAAGUCUGAUGUGAAAGCCCACGGCUCAACCGUGGAACUGCAUCGGAAACUGUCAUUCUUGAGUGCAGAAGAGGAGAGUGGAAUUCCAUGUGUAGCGGUGGAAUGCGUAGAUAUAUGGAAGAACACCAGUGGCGAAGGCGGCUCUCUGGUCUGCAACUGACGCUGAGGCUCGAAAGCAUGGGUAGCGAACAGG